rnacentral:misc_RNA from 1 species
CCGAGUUCUGAGGUCUCCAUUCGAGCCUCAACUCCCACACCAUGUGUACCUUACCUUCUGUUGCUUCGGCGAGCCGCCCUGAAAAGGGCGCCAACCCCUCCGCGGGUUGGAGCGUCUGCUCGCCGGAGGACCAUGAAACUCUUACUAAUUGAAUCGUCUGAGUAACGUUUUAAUAAAUUA